CAGCAGCCGCGGGAAUACAGAGGGUGCGAGCGUUAAUCGGAUUUACUGGGCGUAAAGCGUGCGUAGGCGGCUUCUUAAGUCGGAUGUGAAAUCCCUGAGCUUAACUUAGGAAUUGCAUUCGAUACUGGGAAGCUAGAGUAUGGGAGAGGAUGGUAGAAUUCCAGGUGUAGCGGUGAAAUGCGUAGAGAUCUGGAGGAAUACCGAUGGCGAAGGCAGCCAUCUGGCCUAAUACUGACGCUGAGGUACGAAAGCAUGGGGAGCAAACAGGAUUAGAUACCCGGGUAGUCCCUGUCUCUUAUAA
rnacentral:rRNA from 1 species